CAGCCGCCACGGUAAUACGUAGGGUGCAAGCGUUAAUCGGAAUUACUGGGCGUAAAGCGUGCGCAGGCGGUCCGCUAAGACAGAUGUGAAAUCCCCGGGCUUAACCUGGGAACUGCAUUUGUGACUGGCGGGCUAGAGUAUGGCAGAGGGGGGUAGAAUUCCACGUGUAGCAGUGAAAUGCGUAGAGAUGCGGAGGAACACCGAUGGCGAAGGCAAUCCCCUGGACCUGUACUGACGCUCAUGCACGAAAGCGUGGGGAGCAAACAGGAUUAGAGACCCCUGUAGUCCCUGUCUCUUUACA
rnacentral:rRNA from 1 species